rnacentral:lncRNA from 1 species
CGAUUUUGGUCUUAUCUUCCUGAGGUAGCAAGGAAGCAGACUGAAGAUUGAAAAUCUAUUUCCCUAAAGCAGUUGCGGAGCAAAUUGAGGAUGACGAAUCUUGUCUCUAUGUAUCAGUAAUAGAGCAGAUUUAAGUCACUAGUCCUAUUUCCUUAAAGUUACAGUCAAAAUUCAGCAAAACCGGGCAAAAUUGACCCUAUUUAAAGUUUUUGUUGUAUUCUCAUUACACGAUAAUGAGCAAAGAGGGGCAGCUGUAACAAGUCCAUUUCGCCUAGGCCCACAUAAAAAACCAAAAUCAUAAAUAAAACAAAAAAUAAUAAAUUAAUUGUCCUAAGUCUGUUCACAAAUAAAAGCCCAAAUUUAUUAAUAGUCCAAGUCUUUUAAAUAAAGCCCAAUUUCCAAUCUAAAUAAAAUAAGCCCGAUUGGCCCAGCACAUUUGGAGUCUCUGGAAACCCUUGCACUGCAGCCUCAACAACGGCUUCUUCAUUGCUCCGUACGACAUUAGAACCUGCGAGAAGGAAGAAAAUAGCAAUAAUCUAAUCCAGUAAAUUGUAUAGCUGGAAAAAGAAAAUAAUUUUGGAUUUCUUUAUUAUUUCAUUAGAUUUGGCUAUAAAAGCCAAAUGAAAAUACUGUAAAAGGGAUCUUCUUUUCCUAGAAAGAUACCCGCAUAUUGAAAAAGCAAUAGAGAAAAAAAUCAAAAAAGGUGAUUCAAGUUUUUAAUUUCUUUCUUUUAAUUUUGCGAUCUUGUUUUUUUUCCUUUUGGAAUAUUUUUUUUCCCUUUUCUUUUCUCUUAUAUUUUGCAUGAAGUGAAUAAAGAAAGAGGAGUACUUACCUCUAGCCUCCAAUUGCAUCUCUUCUGUGCAUGGUCGGCCACCAAGCUUGAUGGUGGUUCGGCGAUGUCCCCGAAUUGAAGCCCUAACAUUUGAUCUGUUGUUUGAGAAAAUGGCAGAUUGUCAUUCUUUUUUUUUCCCUUUAAUUUUGAUUGCAAAAUGGAACGGUGCCGUGUUGGGGGGAGGGAAUGAGAUCCGUGCGAUCCAUGCCCUUUUGCUUAAAACGAGGAAUUUGCGCGCUAGGUCCUCCACAUUCGCGCGAGUCUUCGAUUGCACCUUAUGCG